rnacentral:misc_RNA from 1 species
GUAAAUUGUUCAGAAAUUACUGUAAUCAAAGUUGAUGAGCCGUCACCUCACUCAAGCAUUUUAGAUUUUGAGAGCAAAUCGAACUCUAAAAGUAAGCAGCAGCAAAUUCUAUCUGAUUUGAACUGAAUAAUUCAUAAUCAGAUCUUAUGGGUAGACGAGGUCCAUGUCUCCAUUGUGGCAUCAAGAGUAAGUUCUAUCCACCUCUGCCUCAAGUGUUGCGUCAUUGAAGUUACACGGGGAAUACUUUGUUUUAGUUUUG